rnacentral:lncRNA from 10 species
AGACAGGAAGCAUGGCAAAAGCUUCUUCUGCUUGGCUUCUGGGGAGGCCUCAGGGAGCUUUUACUCAUGGCGGAAGGUGAAGCAGAAGUUUGCAUGUCACAUGAUGAGAUCAGUAGCAAGAGACAGAUGUUGGCGGUGGCAGGUGCCACACACUUUUAAACAACCAGAUCUCUUUAGAACUCAAGAUCGUGAGGACAACACCAAGACAUGAGGGAUCACCUCCAUGACCCAAACACCUACCACCAGGCCCCACCUCCAACACUGGGUAAAUUUCAACGUGAGAUUGGAGGGGACAAAUAUCCAAACGAUAUCAGUGAUGGUGUUGAUCAUGAUGAAACUCAAAGCAAACUGUGGGUGACAGGCCCCUCAUGGAACUAGCAUUAGAACUCAGGAGGCUCUCCCCAUGCCAGCCUUCUUGAUGUUUGACUCAAUUGACCGUGG